AUACGGAGGGUGCAAGCGUUAUCCGGAAUUAUUGGGUUUAAAGGGUCCGUAGGCGGCUAGAUAAGUCAGUGGUGAAAUUCUCUCGCUCAACGAGAGACCUGCCAUUGAUACUGUCUUGGCUAGAGUUACAGUGAGGUGAGUGGAAUGUGUGGUGUAGCGGUGAAAUGCAUAGAUAUCACACAGAACACCGAUUGCGAAGGCAGCUCACUAACUGUAUACUGACGCUGAUGGACGAAAGCGUGGGGAGCAAACAGGAUUAGAAACCCUAGUAGUCC
rnacentral:rRNA from 1 species